GCGAAGAAGAAGACGGCGAUGAAGAUGACGAGACCGAAGGUCCGACCGGAAAACGGGCAGCUGAGGACGAUGAGGACGACGACGUCGAUCCGAAGAAGCAGAAAACCGACGAAGACGACUAGGGAGUAGAAUAAUAAAAAAAGAAAAAGAACCAACUUUUUUUUAAACUUAAGAAAAGAGGGAAAAGAAUUUUUUUAAGAAAAAAGGCCAGCGUGAACUUCUUUCACCUUUGAAAAACUUCCUGUUACAAAAACGAAAAAAAAAAAAAAACACGUUUCCCCCUUGUUGCUAAUGGUCACCGUCAUAAAGUAGAGCAAACAGACAAAAAAUCCACCCCAACCCCAGUAAAAGCCGUGUGGCCGUAGAGCUGCCAUUUUUUUUCCCCAACUUGUAAAAAAUAGCAAAAAAAUAAAAACCCAACAGCCCAAAAAAAUCUCCCUCCCUUCUCCCCUCCCCUCGGGAAAACUUCAAGGCCCAGCUUGCUUUCUUAAAAGUAACUUUAAAAGGAGAAUUUGUUUGUAUUUUUUAUUUACAUUUUAUAUUUUUGUACAUAUUGUGAUGAGGUCAGCCAUUUUUAACGCGAUCUCCAUUGACCAAAAGGGGGGGGCGGGGGCUUUUGAAGUGUGCUUUUCUUUUCGUUUUUCCUUUGUUCCUAUAAACGAAACGAAACAAACGAAAAAUAAUUCUUGACUUUACUUGUGGUGUGACCGUGUCCAAAAAACCAUUAUCUCAAA